CCUACGGGAGGCAGCAGUGAGGAAUAUUGGUCAAUGGACGCAAGUCUGAACCAGCCAAGCAGCGUGAAGGAAGACGGCCCUACGGGUUGUAAACUGCUUUUGUAAAAGGGUAAAGUGAGACACGUGUGCCUUUCUGCAAGUACCUUACGAAUAAGGAUCGGCUAACUCCGUGCCAGCAGCCGCGGUAAUACGGAGGAUUCAAGCGUUAUCCGGAUUUAUUGGGUUUAAAGGGUGCGUAGAUGGUCUGUUAAGUUAGAGGUGAAAGCCUGCGGCUCAACCUCGGAAUUGCCAGUGAUACUGUUAGGCUAGAGAAUAGUUGAGGUAGGCGGAAUGUGUGGUGUAGCGGUGAAAUGCUUAGAGAUCACACAGAACUCCGAUUGCGAAGGCAGCUUACCAAGCUGCCUCUGACAUUGAGGCACGAAAGCGUGGGUAGCAAACAGGAUUAGAUACCCUAGUAGUC
rnacentral:rRNA from 1 species